GCCCUGGGGCUGCAGAUCGGCUUGCGGGACGGGGUCCCAGAGAGGCCGGUCCACGCGGCCCGCACGCGCGAGUGUUAGCUCUGCACACGACGGAAGGCGGAGGCGCGGGUGGCUGCCGUUUCACCUUAGAGGGAGGGAGGGAAACGUGUCCUGAUUUCUGCACCUAAGGUGCUGGAAACCUUACCCUUGCACUUCCACCGUUUCUUUCCUUGUCCUGAAAAGGUCUCUUUUACCCGCUUCACUUCGCUAUCUACACAGUUUGCACUUGCACUGACUCAGAUCUUGUCCUGUCUGGUAAGCUGUGACCCUCAGCCAGCCUGGGUAGCUGCCCUUGAACCAGAGGUUGGGGUCUGGCAGUUUCUAUAGGCGUCCUCAGGCUCGGUCUGCAAGGGGCUUGCCUCUUUCUUCUGGGGUCUUCUCGCCCCCAUGCCUUCUCAGUUGUGGUGAUUAUACCAGAAGGAACGUGGGAGAAGUAUAAUGGAGAAUGCUUAGUCACUGGACAAUGAUUUCGAAAGUUCGGCUGGCUGAGGAAACAAGAGUUUUGUGUAAUGUCUGUGACUUACUCAAUGGUUCUAGGAGGCACGAGACUGAGUUUCUUUGGGCUCUGCUCGCCUACUCUUAAGGGGCUCUACCUUCUUAGGGUGAACUCGGCACCCACCUAGAACCUCCAGUGUGUGAAAGGGCCUACCUACCUCAUUGGGCCCCAACCUCCAGCCUCUUGUGAGAGUGACGACCAGCCCCAAAAUGGCUGCACACAAACAAGACCCUAAGGGAGGGCCCGUUGCAAAAUGAAAAUGUGGGGUCCCUUACUCAAAAUUAAUGAAGAAUUUCAAGAAGGCAACAGGAGAGCAUGAAGCCAAGCGUGGAGCCCUUCUGAGUGCCUGCCCUGUGGAAGCCAGACCUAGGCAGUAUUUCAGCCCCUUUGAUUCACACACCACCUUUGCAUCGUUGGAAACACCUUUGACCAGCAAUGGAAAAU
rnacentral:lncRNA from 1 species